GAUGAACGCUGGCGGCGUGCCUAAUACAUGCAAGUCGAGCGAACGGACGAGAAGCUUGCUUCUCUGAUGUUAGCGGCGGACGGGUGAGUAACACGUGGAUAACCUACCUAUAAGACUGGGAUAACUUCGGGAAACCGGAGCUAAUACCGGAUAAUAUUUUGAACCGCAUGGUUCAAAAGUGAAAGACGGUCUUGCUGUCACUUAUAGAUGGAUCCGCGCUGCAUUAGCUAGUUGGUAAGGUAACGGCUUACCAAGGCAACGAUGCAUAGCCGACCUGAGAGGGUGAUCGGCCACACUGGAACUGAGACACGGUCCAGACUCCUACGGGAGGCAGCAGUAGGGAAUCUUCCGCAAUGGGCGAAAGCCUGACGGAGCAACGCCGCGCGAGUGAUGAAGGUCUUCGGAUCGUAAAACUCUGUUAUUAAGGAAGAACAUAUGUGUAAGUAACUGUGCACAUCUUGACGGUACCUAAUCAGAAAGCCACGGCUAACUACGUG
rnacentral:rRNA from 1 species